GAUUAGCUUGUUGGCGGGGUAACGGCCCACCAAGGCGACGAUCAGUAGGGGUUCUGAGAGGAAGGUCCCCCACAUUGGAACUGAGACACGGUCCAAACUCCUACGGGAGGCAGCAGUGAGGAAUAUUGGUCAAUGGGCGAGAGUCUGAACCAGCCAAGUAGCGUGCAGGAUGACGGCCCUAUGGGUUGUAAACUGCUUUUAUAAGGGAAUAAAGUGAGUCUCGUGAGACUUUUUGCAUGUACCUUAUGAAUAAGGACCGGCUAAUUCCGUGCCAGCAGCCGCGGUAAUACGGAAGGUCCGGGCGUUAUCCGGAUUUAUUGGGUUUAAAGGGAGCGUAGGCCGGAGAUUAAGCGUGUUGUGAAAUGUAGACGCUCAACGUCUGCACUGCAGCGCGAACUGGUUUCCUUGAGUACGCACAAAGUGGGCGGAAUUCGUGGUGUAGCGGUGAAAUGCUUAGAUAUCACGAAGAACUCCGAUUGCGAAGGCAGCUCACUGGAGCGCAACUGACGCUGAAGCUCGAAAGUGCGGGUAUCGAACAGGAUUAGAUACCCUGGUAGUCCGCACGGUAAACGAUGGAUGCCCGCUGUUGGUCUGAAUAGGUCAGCGGCCAAGCGAAAGCAUUAAGCAUCCCACCUGGGGAGUA
rnacentral:rRNA from 1 species